rnacentral:lncRNA from 1 species
UGGGCUAUUGUGCAUUUGAACAUGAAUUUCUUAGGUUUUAUCCUAAUUGGGAGAGGACACUUACUUUCUUAAAUCUAUAGGUUUAUGUCUUCCACCAAGCUUGGGAAGCAUUUACUCAUUUUUUUUUCUUUCCAGCUUUUUCCAUCCUGCAUUCUUUUUUCCCUUUCAUAGUUGCUGAUGGGAUGAUAUGCAGAACUUUUGUUGAGCCCCUUAGGACUCUGAGGAACAUUCAUUUGGUUCCCAGUCUAUUUUAUUUCUGCUACUGCUAUUUGUUUCAGAUUAUUGAUGUUAUUAUUCAGAUGAUUGAUGUUCCUUAAGUUAGCUGAUUUUGUCCUUGCUAGUGUUCAUUCUUCUACUAAGCCCAUGCAUUGAAGUGUUGUUGUUGGUUUUGUGUGUGGGUGUGUGUUAUUUUUGAUGAUUGUAUUUUUUCAAUUUUAAAAUUACCAUUUGGUACACAAGUACAUAUUUAUUUAUUCAUUUAUUUCCGCCACACAGAGAGAGGAGUCUGUGCGCCAUGGGGGUUUUGAGAGUUCAGUGAGAUGAAACCUUUAGUCACGGUGUCCUGGUUGUUGUUGGCUUGGCCAUCAGAAUGCCAGGGCAGAGACUGCAGUUGAGGGCAACUGGGAGAUGCUUCAGCUGGAGGGCAAGAAGGGAGAGGUCGGAUGCUUCAUUCUCAAACCACAACCAGAAUCAGCCGUGACUUUCCAAAGCCUGACCACAAUGAGGCCAUGUUUAGUUGUUAAACCCUUGACCACCUGUCUUGAAGGCAGUCCGGCUGUCCUUGGGCAGAGGGUUUGGUGUGUGUGUGCGUGUGUAGGCGUGCAUGAGUGUUUGUAGGGGGCAAGGAGUGCGUGUGUGUGUGUAGGGGCAGGAGGGUUUGGUGUCUGUGUACGUGUGUGUGGGUGUGCAUGUGUGUGUAGUGGGCAAGAGAGUUUGGGAGGAGUGUGCAUGUGUGUGUAGGGGUGAGGGGGUUUGGGGAGAGUUUGGGAGGAGUGUGUGAGUGUGCGUGUGUGUGUAGGGGUGAGGGGUUUUGGGGAGAGUUUGGGAGGAGUGUGUGAGUGUGCGUGUGUGUGUAGGGGUGGGGGGUUUGGGGAGAGUUUGGGAGGAGUGUGUGUGUGUGUGUGUGUGUAGGGGCGGGAGGGUUUGGUGUCUGUGUGGGUGUGUGUGGGCAUGCAUGUGUGUAUAGUGGGCAAGAGAGUUUGGGAGGAGUGUGCAGGGUUUGGGGAGAGUUUGGGAGGAGUGUGUGUGUGUGUAGGGGUGAGGGGGUUUGGGAGGAGUGUGCGUAUGUGUGCGUGUGUGUGUGCAUGCAUGUGUGCAUGUGGGUGCGUGUGUGUAGGCGCGAGGGGGGUCGGGAGAAGUGUGCAUGUGUGCGUGCAUGUGUGUGUGCAUGCGUGCGUGUAGGGGCAGGGGUUUGGGAGGAGGCGGGGAUAUGUGGGAACAAUAUCACUCAAAUGAAUCACCAACAACUGAACCCCUGGAAAUUGUCCUGAGGCUCAAGUUAAAAUAUUAAUGGAAAACAAACACUAAAAUGAAGUUAUUCAAACCCCAAAGCACACUCCAAAAAAUCAACUGUACAAGGAAAGAGGUUUUAUCUAGGUAAUUUUCAGACAUUUAAGCUGUGUGUAGAUUUUGUAUAAGUAAAGAAUCACUUUGACUCCCAGAGCUCUCAUUUUC